AACGAACGCUGGCGGCAGGCUUAACACAUGCAAGUCGAGCGCAUCCUUCGGGGUGAGCGGCGGACGGGUGAGUAACGCGUGGGAACGUGCCCUCUUCUACGGAAUAGCCUCGGGAAACUGAGAGUAAUGCCGUAUACGCCCGCAAGGGGAAAGAUUUAUCGGAGGAGGAUCGGCCCGCGUUGGAUUAGGUAGUUGGUGGGGUAACGGCCUACCAAGCCGACGAUCCAUAGCUGGUUUGAGUGGAUGAUCAGCCACACUGGGACUGAGACACGGCCCAGACUCCUACGGGAGGCAGCAGUGGGGAAUCUUGGACAAUGGGGGCAACCCUGAUCCAGCCAUGCCGCGUGAUCGAUGAAGGCCUUAGGGUUGUAAAGAUCUUUCAGCUGGGAAGAUAAUGACGGUACCAGCAGAAGAAGCCCCGGCUAACUCCGUG
rnacentral:rRNA from 1 species